rnacentral:lncRNA from 10 species
UUCAGGAUCUCAGUCAACUUCAAGAGGCUUGGUUAGCUGAAGCACAAGUUCCUGAUGAUGAACAGUUUGUCCCAGAUUUUCAGUCUGAUAACCGUAAGUACCUUUCUGGUGAUGGCACAUUUGUUCUGAAAUUGUUUGGUCUUAGAUCAUCCAUGUCUAGAAUAUGCUUUUUUCAGCUAUGGCCAGAUUUAGACAGUAGUAUGCAUUUAGUUUCUUCUAAUAAUUCAGAAUUAACCCUGAAAACUUUUAUUUCAUAAUAAAAUUAUUUCUAAAGUAUUUCUACUGUAUUGCAGGUAAGAUUUACUGAACAUAAUUUUAUCCUAAAUUUCUUUUUACCUUAAGAAUAUUGUAAAGCUGACUGGGCACAGUGGCUCACACCUAUAAUCCCAGGGCUUUGGGAGGCUGAGGCAGGUGGAUCACUUGAGGUCAGGCAUUCAAGACCAGCCUGGCCAAUAUGGUGAAACCCCGUCUC